rnacentral:pre_miRNA from 1 species
UUCACUAGGGGAAUUUGUUAAAAAGCAGAUUCUGAUUCAGUAGGUCUGGAUUGAGGUCUUAGUUUCUGCAUUUGUAACAAACUCUCAGAUGAUACUAG